GCAAACUUGGUCAUUUAGAGGAAGUAAAAGUCGUAACAAGGUAACCGUAGGUGAACCUGCGGUUGGAUCAUUAAAAAUAACAAACAUGCCUCUCAUUGUGGUUGUGGGCGAGCUUUGCCCACGGUUCUUUCCGGCUUUUCGGAAACAAUGAAUGUUGGCUCCACAUUUUGUGCACCGUAUCGUAUUUGGUGGUGGGAUGGUGGACACCGCAGCUUGCGGUGUUCCCAUCUGUCAGCCUGAAUCCGAAAGGGUUCGGGCCGUGGACAAGCCACCGCAUGCCUUCAAACCUUUGUUUUUCGUUUUUUGUCUGACAAUUUAUUUUGUAUUUAAUAUACAAACAACUUUUGGCAACGGAUCUCUUGGUUCUCGCAUCGAUGAAGAACGCAGC
rnacentral:misc_RNA from 1 species